UACGAAGGGGGCUAGCGUUGCUCGGAAUCACUGGGCGUAAAGGGUGCGUAGGCGGGUCUUUAAGUCAGGGGUGAAAUCCUGGAGCUCAACUCCAGAACUGCCUUUGAUACUGAAGAUCUUGAGUUCGGGAGAGGUGAGUGGAACUGCGAGUGUAGAGGUGAAAUUCGUAGAUAUUCGCAAGAACACCAGUGGCGAAGGCGGCUCACUGGCCCGAUACUGACGCUGAGGCACGAAAGCGCGGG
rnacentral:rRNA from 1 species